rnacentral:lncRNA from 1 species
AAAUGAUCAAUGACUAGGCUCUGUGUGAGCUGGACUCCUCAUCUAGCUGGAGAAGAGAGAGUAUGUCAGAGGCUGAGCUGAGCUCUCAAGAUGAAACCAACACUGCUGAGAUGAUUGACCUGAUGUUUAAGGACAUGCUGGAGGCUUCUGCCCAGGGAAGGGAGAAGGAGGGCAAUGAGGAUUAUGACAGUGCCAUAGCCACAGUGAUGCGCAGAAAGGAGAAAACAGAGUUGGACAAGGAGAAAGCUGAGGAGGGUGAAGACCUGGAAGAGAUCAGGGAACUGGACUCCAGUGUAGAUGAGCUGCUGACCCUCCCACCCAGCUGCAUCCUCUCUCCUCUCAGCAGGUCUGUGGAAGCUGUGGUCACUCCAAUGGUAAGGCUCUGCAGACAGACAAAGGUUGCCAGGGUCACCUUGUUCAAUGUGAUUCUGAAAGUGUUGCCCUGCAGUUUUAAAGCUUGGAGUGUUUACACUUCCAAAUUGACAUCUAAGUGUUUUAAUAUCCCUGCAGAGACUUGCAGCUAG